GGAAUAUUGCACAAUGGGGGAAACCCUGAUGCAGCGACGCCGCGUGAGUGAAGAAGUAUUUCGGUAUGUAAAGCUCUAUCAGCAGGGAAGAAAAUGACGGUACCUGAUUAAGAAGCCCCGGCUAACUACGUGCCAGCAGCCGCGGUAAUACGUAGGGGGCAAGCGUUAUCCGGAUUUACUGGGUGUAAAGGGAGCGUAGACGGCAGCACAAGUCUGGAGUGAAAUGCCGGGGCUUAACCCCGGAACUGCUUUGGAAACUGUGCAGCUAGAGUGCAGGAGAGGUAAGUGGAAUUCCUAGUGUAGCGGUGAAAUGCGUAGAUAUUAGGAGGAACACCAGUGGCGAAGGCAGCUCACUGGACUGGUCACUGACACUGAGGCUCGAAAGUGUGGGUAUCAAACAA
rnacentral:rRNA from 1 species